CAGUCGCCACGGGAAUACGGAGGGUGCAAGCGUUAAUCGGAAUUACUGGGCGUAAAGCGCACGCAGGCGGUUUGUUAAGUCAGAUGUGAAAUCCCCGAGCUUAACUUGGGAACUGCAUUUGAAACUGGCAAGCUAGAGUCUUGUAGAGGGGGGUAGAAUUCCAGAUGUAGCGGUGAAAUGCGUGGAGAUCUGGAGGAAUACCGGUGGCGAAGGCGGCCCCCUGGACAAAGACUGACGCUCAGGUGCGAAAGCGUGGGGAGCAAACAGGAUUAGAUACCCCUGUAGUCCCUGUCUCUUAUAC
rnacentral:rRNA from 1 species